rnacentral:rRNA from 1 species
UACGAAGGGGGCUAGCGUUGUUCGGAAUUACUGGGCGUAAAGGGCGCGCAGGCGGUUUUGUAAGCCAGAUGUGAAAUCCCCGGGCUUAACCUGGGAAUGGCAUUUGGGACUGCAAGGCUUGAGUGCGGCAGAGGAGACUGGAAUUCCUGGUGUAGCAGUGAAAUGCGUAGAUAUCAGGAGGAACACCGAUGGCGAAGGCAGGUCUCUGGGCUGACACUGACGCUCAUGCACGAAAGCGUAGGGAGCAAACAGG